GUCCCGUCUCCUGAAGGCUGCCGAGACCCUCGCAUCGCUCGCAGUCACGGAAACAAGGCAACGUUAUCUUAUCAGCGAGACUCGAAACACUUCACAAUGCUUCCCUUACAUCUUUCCCUUGACGCAGCUACAGUUUCCAUCAUCCUCCUUAGUAAAGCUCCUCAGAAAGAGACGUGCAUGUAGAAAUCAUUGUCAUUCUUUUGGUGGUUCAGUUGACAGUCCGCUGGAAGUAAAAGUGGACGACAGAGCAAUGCCACGCCACGCCCUCUGCUUCCCCAUCUGCGUGCCCUGAAGCUGGCUGAUGCUCACGACGAUCUCUUUAUCACCUGAAACACAUCUGCUAUUUUCAAAAGGCUCCAGGAAGGUGACGCAACACUGAAAAUCUCCAUCAGAACUUUUCUUGAUUGGUCAUAUACCCUCGGAGGUCCAGCGGCGGUCCACCUCCAGCCAAGCAAGCAAUAGUGUCUUUAGCAAAAGAGAAGCUUUCAUGGAUGCAAUAUUGUUCUAAAAGCAAACUAAAUAAUUCCAUGAAUCAUAACAAUCAUCUGAACUGUUGGGACAACAACUUCCAUCACAUGAACACUGUUCAAUGCAAGACAGACUGGCCAUUUGGCAGGAACACUUCUGGACACAGUGCACUCCUUGUCAUGGCAGCACAGCAUUCAGUGAGCUGCUGGUGCACGGGAAGGAGGGAGGAACACUGGAUUGAGCCAUGAAGUAGCAGCAUCAGCAACAGACAGUGAAAUUGCAACCAUAUGGAGAAAAGAAUAAUUGAGAAAGAAGUACAGUGACAAGCCACAGUUCCACACAGUCACUCUAACCUUCACAUAGUUUCCAACUAUAGACACGUUCUUGAAGUCGAGGGCGGCAUCUAUCUCAUCCAUCACAUAGAGCGGUGUGGGCUUGUAGUAGUGCAGGGCAAACACCAGAGCCAGAGAGGAUAGCGUCUUCUCUCCACCAGACAAAUUAGUGAUGUUCUUCCAAGACUUCUUAGAUGAGACUCCAAUCCAUUUCCUUCACUCCUGGGUUGCACCAGAGGCAUCUACAAGCUUGUCACUAGUUGUCCAGCAGCAGCAGCAGCCCCUGUAACCUUGUCAGCCUAUCAGUGAAUCAGUUAGUUACUACAAGCACUGGCUUUCUCUUCUCACUGUCCUCCUAUCUUGUCUGUGAUGUUACUUUAUAAUGCUUGCAGUCUAAACUUAAAGAAACCAGGCAACUUCUUCUGUCCAGUAUUUAUUUAUUUAUUUAUUUUGUAUUUUGAUUUUAUGAAGAAUGUUCUCUAAAAUAAGACAAACUACUGGAAAAUUACUGUUGAGUGUUUAACUGAAACCUACUUCUGUGGCUUAACCUGAACACUGCAACAUCACAUGACCUCACUAUCAUCAUGCAGCUGCAAAGCCUACUGAACAGUCAGACCCUUGCACCAACACCACAGAACUAGCAGCCCUUCUCUCCCCCUCACCUGAAGAUAAGCCCCUCGCUGAAUGGGUCGAGGGAGUCCACCAGCUCCAGCUCUGCGUCGCCGCCCAGGGUGAUCAUCUGGUACAUCUCCUUCAGCUUGUUGGAGAUGAUGGUGAAGCCGGCCAUGAAUUCAUUGAGCCGUUGUUUCCUCAGGUCCUCGUGGUACUUCCGCUGCUCAUCUCUUUGCCGUGUGAUCUCGUCCAGCUCCGAUGCACGCUGCAGGUCCUGCCCACAUUACCACCACCACCACCACAUCUCCAUGAACUAAAUCUUCAACCACUUAUCCCAGACAAUUAUGAGCACCACUACAAAUAAGCACACAUACACACAGACAGGUCACGAAGAACAAAAUCUUUAAACCACUCACCAGACAAUUAUGGACACACAAAGAAGAAUGAGGAAAAUUAGAAGGCAAAAAAGGAUAAUGAAGGCUAGGAAGAGAAAGAAAACUGGGAGGAAGAGGAAUACAAAGGAAAGCCAAACAGCAACAGAUCUCUUGGUCCUUUCAAAGAU